GCCUACGGGAGGCAGCAGUGAGGAAUAUUGGUCAAUGGGCGAGAGCCUGAACCAGCCAAGUCGCGUGAGGGAAGACGGUCCUAUGGAUUGUAAACCUCUUUUGCCGGGGAGCAAAAAGCGGUACGUGUACCGCAUCGAGAGUACCCGGAGAAAAAGCAUCGGCUAACUCCGUGCCAGCAGCCGCGGUAAUACGGAGGAUGCGAGCGUUAUCCGGAUUUAUUGGGUUUAAAGGGUGCGCAGGCGGUCUGUUAAGUCAGCGGUCAAAGCCCGGGGCUCAACCCCGGCCCGCCGUUGCAACUGGCAGG
rnacentral:rRNA from 1 species